GCUUCGUAUUAAUUCAUAUCUUUGUGAGAGAAGAAUCAUAAAACUAUUUUAAAAAUGAGUAUUUAGCAAAAAAAAAAAUCACAACAUCUCCUUCGUCCGGCCCCUUUGCUUUGAAUUUCGAAAGCUGUAUCGGUACGGCUCAACAACUGUGCUACUGUGUGUACUGUGUGGUACUUGCCGUCCCUUGUCCAAAUAGUGCUAGCAAGUUGUUGGGAGUAGCGUACAAGCGCGAAGGACGCACACGAUCAACUGCUGC
rnacentral:lncRNA from 1 species